rnacentral:lncRNA from 1 species
AUGAUCUUCACCAACCUGUUGGUCCAUCGGUAAUCCAAGAUCACGGGCCAAAGUCACUGACAUUCGUUUGAAUGAAUUUGUAGCCACCGAAAGACACAAUCAAAACACCUUUGUAAACAAUGCCGUUGAAUUGACCUUCCCAGGAAAUGCUGUUAUCUGUCUGACUGCGAUUAACAGCGUGCUGCUUCCUGCUUUCUGAAAGGAUACAAAAUCAUGCGUACUGGAAAAAUGCAGUUGCCCCUACUUUUGUAAAGAAUUCAAAACCUCGUGCAUUCUAAUUUGCUGUCGUAGAAGUUAAGAAGCUGCAUUGCCUACUUAACAAAACUGCUAUAAUAAAUUAUGUCAGAAGACUCAUUCAGUUUCUCUAUCAACUUUGUUAUAGUGCCAUCUAGUGAGCAAUGUGCAACAUUGUAACAAUGCAACGACACUCAAUUUAAGUUUAGUGUUAACAAAGUCGCAAUAAAGGCAUAAAGAUUCAGUCAGGAGGUUAGUUGUUAUCAGAGUCAAAAGGUUAGUUAUCAGGGUCAGCAGGUUAGUUGUUAUCAGGGUCAGAAGGUUAGUUAUCAGGGUCAGCAGGUUAGUUGUUAUCAGGGUCAGCAGGUUAGUUGUUAUCCGGGUCAGCAGGUUAGUUGUUAACAGGGUCAGCAGGUUAGUUGUUAACAGGGUUAGUUGUUAACAGGGUCAGCAGGUUAGUUGUUAACAGGGUCAGCAGGUUAGUUGUUAUCAGGGUCAGCAGGUUAGUUGUUAUCAGGGUCUCAGGUUAGUUGUUAUCAGAGUCAGCAGGUUAGUUGUUAACAGGGUCAGCGAGGUUAGUUGUUAUCAGGGUCAGCAGGUUAGUUGUUAUCAGGGUCAGCGGUUAGUUGUUAACAGGGUCCGAAGGUUAA